UACGAAGGGGGCUAGCGUUGUUCGGAAUCAUUGGGCGUAAAGGGCGCGUAGGUGGUUCUGUAUGUCUACCGUGAAAGCAUACAGCUCAACUGUAUUUUGUCGGUAGAAACUGCAGGACUUGAGGCUGGGAGGGGCUGGUGGAAUUCCCUGUGUAGCGGUGAAAUGCGUAGAUAUUGGGAGGAACACCAGUGGCGAAGGCGGCUCACUGGACCGGUUCUGACGCUGAUGCGCGAAAGCGUGGGGAGCAAACGGG
rnacentral:rRNA from 1 species